rnacentral:rRNA from 1 species
GGGUUGUGAGGUUAAGCGACUAAGCGUACACGGUGGAUGCCCUGGCAGUCAGAGGCGAUGAAGGACGUGCUAAUCUGCGAAAAGCGUCGGUAAGGUGAUAUGAACCGUUAUAACCGGCGAUGUCCGAAUGGGGAAACCCAGUGUGAUUCGUCACACUAUCGUUAACUGAAUACAUAGGUUAACGAGGCGAACCGGGGGAACUGAAACAUCUAAGUACCCCGAGGAAAAGAAAUCAACCGAGAUUCCCCCAGUAGCGGCGAGCGAACGGGGAGCAGCCCAGAGUCUGAAUCAGCUUGUGUGUUAGUGGAACGGUCUGGAAAGUCCGACGGUACAGGGUGAUAGUCCCGUACACCAAAAUGCACAGGUUGUGAACUCGAAGAGUAGGGCGGGACACGUGGUAUCCUGUCUGAAUAUGGGGGGACCAUCCUCCAAGGCUAAAUACUCCUGACUGACCGAUAGUGAACCAGUACCGUGAGGGAAAGGCGAAAAGAACCCCGGCGAGGGGAGUGAAAAAGAACCUGAAACCGUGUACGUACAAGCAGUGGGAGCACCUUCGGGUGUGACUGCGUACCUUUUGUAUAAUGGGUCAGCGACUUAUAUUCUGUAGCAAGGUUAACCGUAUAGGGGAGCCGCAGGGAAACCGAGUCUUAACUGGGCGUUAAGUUGCAGGGUAUAGACCCGAAACCCGGUGAUCUAGCCAUGGGCAGGUUGAAGGUUGGGUAACACUAACUGGAGGACCGAACCGACUAAUGUUGAAAAAUUAGCGGAUGACUUGUGGCUGGGGGUGAAAGGCCAAUCAAACCGGGAGAUAGCUGGUUCUCCCCGAAAGCUAUUUAGGUAGCGCCUCGUGAACUCAUCUUCGGGGGUAGAGCACUGUUUCGGCUAGGGGGUCAUCCCGACUUACCAACCCGAUGCAAACUACGAAUACCGAAGAAUGUUAUCACGGGAGACACACGGCGGGUGCUAACGUCCGUCGUGAAGAGGGAAACAACCCAGACCGCCAGCUAAGGUCCCAAAGUCAUGGUUAAGUGGGAAACGAUGUGGGAAGGCACAGACAGCCAGGAUGUUGGCUUAGAAGCAGCCAUCAUUUAAAGAAAGCGUAAUAGCUCACUGGUCGAGUCGGCCUGCGCGGAAGAUGUAACGGGGCUAAACCAUGCACCGAAGCUGCGGCAGCGACACUAUGUGUUGUUGGGUAGGGGAGCGUUCUGUAAGCCUGCGAAGGUGACCUGUGAGGGUUGCUGGAGGUAUCAGAAGUGCGAAUGCUGACAUAAGUAACGAUAAAGCGGGUGAAAAGCCCGCUCGCCGGAAGACCAAGGGUUCCUGUCCAACGUUAAUCGGGGCAGGGUGAGUCGACCCCUAAGGCGAGGCCGAAAGGCGUAGUCGAUGGGAAACAGGUUAAUAUUCCUGUACUUGGUGUUACUGCGAAGGGGGGACGGAGAAGGCUAUGUUAGCCGGGCGACGGUUGUCCCGGUUUAAGCAUGUAGGCUGGUUAUCCAGGCAAAUCCGGAUAAUCAAGGCUGAGGUGUGAUGACGAGGCACUACGGUGCUGAAGUAACAAAUGCCCUGCUUCCAGGAAAAGCCUCUAAGCAUCAGGUAACAUCAAAUCGUACCCCAAACCGACACAGGUGGUCAGGUAGAGAAUACCAAGGCGCUUGAGAGAACUCGGGUGAAGGAACUAGGCAAAAUGGUGCCGUAACUUCGGGAGAAGGCACGCUGGUGUGUAGGUGAAGCCCCUGCGGGUGGAGCUGAGACCAGUCGAAGAUACCAGCUGGCUGCAACUGUUUAUUAAAAACACAGCACUGUGCAAACACGAAAGUGGACGUAUACGGUGUGACGCCUGCCCGGUGCCGGAAGGUUAAUUGAUGGGGUUAUCCGUAAGGAGAAGCUCUUGAUCGAAGCCCCGGUAAACGGCGGCCGUAACUAUAACGGUCCUAAGGUAGCGAAAUUCCUUGUCGGGUAAGUUCCGACCUGCACGAAUGGCGUAAUGAUGGCCAGGCUGUCUCCACCCGAGACUCAGUGAAAUUGAACUCGCUGUGAAGAUGCAGUGUACCCGCGGCAAGACGGAAAGACCCCGUGAACCUUUACUAUAGCUUGACACUGAACAUUGAGCCUUGAUGUGUAGGAUAGGUGGGAGGCUUUGAAGCGUGGACGCCAGUCUGCGUGGAGCCAACCUUGAAAUACCACCCUUUAAUGUUUGAUGUUCUAACGUUGGCCCCUUACCGGGGUUGCGGACAGUGUCUGGUGGGUAGUUUGACUGGGGCGGUCUCCUCCCAAAGCGUAACGGAGGAGCACGAAGGUUAGCUAAUCCUGGUCGGACAUCAGGAGGUUAGUGCAAUGGCAUAAGCUAGCUUGACUGCGAGCGUGACGGCGCGAGCAGGUGCGAAAGCAGGUCAUAGUGAUCCGGUGGUUCUGAAUGGAAGGGCCAUCGCUCAACGGAUAAAAGGUACUCCGGGGAUAACAGGCUGAUACCGCCCAAGAGUUCAUAUCGACGGCGGUGUUUGGCACCUCGAUGUCGGCUCAUCACAUCCUGGGGCUGAAGUAGGUCCCAAGGGUAUGGCUGUUCGCCAUUUAAAGUGGUACGCGAGCUGGGUUUAGAACGUCGUGAGACAGUUCGGUCCCUAUCUGCCGUGGGCGCUGGAGAAUUGAGGGGGGCUGCUCCUAGUACGAGAGGACCGGAGUGGACGCAUCACUGGUGUUCGGGUUGUCAUGCCAAUGGCACUGCCCGGUAGCUAAAUGCGGAAGAGAUAAGUGCUGAAAGCAUCUAAGCACGAAACUUGCCCCGAGAUGAGUUCUCCCUGAGACUUUAAGUCUCCUGAAGGAACGUUGAAGACGACGACGUUGAUAGGCCGGGUGUGUAAGCGCAGCGAUGCGUUGAGCUAACCGGUACUAAUGAACCGUGAGGCUUAACCUUACAACGCCGAAG